rnacentral:rRNA from 1 species
CAGUCGCCGCGGUAAUACGAAGGGGGCUAGCGUUGUUCGGAAUUACUGGGCGUAAAGCGCACGUAGGCGGACAUUUAAGUCAGGGGUGAAAUCCCGGGGCUCAACCCCGGAACUGCCUUUGAUACUGGGUGUCUUGAGUGUGGAAGAGGUCAGUGGAAUUGCGAGUGUAGAGGUGAAAUUCGUAGAUAUUCGCAGGAACACCAGUGGCGAAGGCGGCUGACUGGUCCACAACUGACGCUGAGGUGCGAAAGCGUGGGGAGCAAACAGGAUUAGAUACCCCCGUAGUCCCUGUCUCUUAUAC